GCUGUGGUAGCUCAACUGGAAAGAGCAUCAGGCUAGGGACCUGAGGGUUACGGGUUCGACUCCCGUCCAUGCGACA
rnacentral:tRNA from 1 species